AUUGAACGCUGGCGGCAGGCCUAACACAUGCAAGUCGAACGAGCGGCGGACGGGUGAGUAAUGUCUGGGAAACUGCCUGAUGGAGGGGGAUAACUACUGGAAACGGUAGCUAAUACCGCAUACCAUCAGAUGUGCCAAGAUGGGAUUCGCUAGUAGGUUGGGUAAUGGCUCACCUAUGCGACGAUCCCUAGCUGGUCUGAGAGGAUGACCAGCCACACUGGAACUGAUACACGGUCCAGACUCCUACGGGAGGCAUCAGGGGGGAAUAUUGCACAAUGGGCGCAAGCCUGAUGCAGCCAUGCCGCGUGUGUGAAGAAGGCCUUCGGGUUGUAAAGCACUUUCAGCGAGGAGGCGUUACUCGCAGAAGAAGCACCGGCUAACCCCGUGCCAGCAGCCGCGGUAAUUC
rnacentral:rRNA from 1 species